rnacentral:rRNA from 1 species
AUUGAACGCUGGCGGCAGGCCUAACACAUGCAAGUCGAGCGGAUGAAGGGAGCUUGCUCCUGGAUUCAGCGGCGGACGGGUGAGUAAUGCCUAGGAAUCUGCCUGGUUGUGGGGGAUAACGUCCGGAAACGGGCGCUAAUACCGCAUACGUCCUGAGGGAGAAAGUGGGGGAUCUUCGGACCUCACGCUAUCAGAUGAGCCUAGGUGGGAUUAGCUAGUUGGUGGGGUAAAGGCCUACCAAGGCGACGAUCCGUAACUGGUCUGAGAGGAUGAUCAGUCACACGGGAAGGGAGACACGGUCCAGACUCCUACGGGAGGCAGCAGUGGGGAAUAUUGGACAAUGGGCGAAAGCCUGAUACAGCCAUGCCGCGUGUGUGAAGAAGGUCUUCGGAUUGUAAAGCACUUUAAGUUGGGAGGAAGGGCAGUAAGUUAAUACCUUGCUGUUUUGACGUUACCAACAGAAUAAGCACCGGCUAACUUCGUG